UGCAAAUGAUAACAUAGGUUAUCUUGGCUUCAGAAGCUUCUUUCAGCUCCUCUCGUUGGAGAAAAUCUUUGGUACUCGAAGAUCACACAGUGGAAUCCUGACCCACUGAAGGCUCCAGUAUAUUCAGUUACGCUUACAGAUACCUGCCUUGUGUCAUUGUGAUUUUAAGUUUUGAAGAUGCUGAGGACCAGCAGCAGCUCCUGCAAACUUCAUUGGCAGCUGGGAAGAAUCAACAGUGAGAAGUCAUCCUAUGGGUGCCUUCACUCUAUGGGAAGGACUGGUUGUGAAGUUUGCCGAAGAGGUAAAUUAAAUCUAGGGUCUCUAGUGCACAGAGAAACACCUGAAAAACACCAGUUUUAAAGGGGACGUGACACCGGUUAUAUGAACUCAGUUCUGCCUGAACAGGCUUCGGGAUGUCUAACAGCCUUUGAGGAGAGCCAAGGCUACAAAAUUCUAUGAGCUCAGAAUUGCUGGGGGUGUACAGAUGCACAGGUUUGUGAUGUUAUUCGCCGAGAUGAUCAUCAGAAAUAGAGUAGGAACAUGUGUGUCUGGCCCCUGGAACAAAGAGGUGUUAAAUGGUGUUACUCCUGUUCUAGAAGGAUUACUCACAGAAAAAUAAUAUGCCAAAGAUAGGGCUUAGAUUGAAAGGAUUUUAAGAAUAGCAGAGAAAAAUCCAUCCCCAACUCUAUGUGAAAUAAACUGAUGGUUUCGAC
rnacentral:lncRNA from 1 species